UCCUACGGGAGGCAGCAGUGAGGAAUAUUGGACAAUGGGGGCAACCCUGAUCCAGCCAUGCCGCGUGCGCGAUGAAGGCCUUAGGGUUGUAAAGCGCUUUCGCCCGUGAAGAUGAUGACUGUAACGGGAUAAGAAGCCCCGGCUAACUCCGUGCCAGCAGCCGCGGUAAUACGGAGGGGGCUAGCGUUGUUCGGAAUUACUGGGCGUAAAGGGCGCGUAGGCGGCCGAGUUAGUUGGGGGUGAAAGGCCUGGGCUCAACCUAGGAACUGCCUCCAAAACUACUCGGCUAGAGACCGGGAGAGGAUGGUGGAAUUCCCAGUGUAGAGGUGAAAUUCGUAGAUAUUGGGAAGAACACCAGUGGCGAAGGCGGCCAUCUGGACCGGAUCUGACGCUGAGGCGCGAAAGCGUGGGGAGCAAACAGGACUAGAUACCCUGGUAGUCCACGCCGUAAACGAUGUCAGCUAGACGUUGGGGGUUUCGCCUUCAGUGUCGCAGCUAACGCAUUAAGCUGACCGCCUGGGGAGUACGGCCGCAAGGCUAAAACUCAAAGGAAUUGACGGA
rnacentral:rRNA from 1 species